GACGAACCGUACAAACGUUAUUCGGAAUCACUGGGCUUAAAGGGUGCGUAGGCGGUGCAGCAAGUUGGAUGUGAAAGCCCCCGGCUCAACCGGGGAAUUGCGUCCAAAACUGCUGUGCUAGAGGGAGAUAGGGGUGAGCGGAACUCACGGUGGAGCGGUGAAAUGCGUUGAUAUCGUGAGGAACACCGGUGGCGAAAGCGGCUCACUGGAUCUCUUCUGACGCUGAGGCACGAAAGCUAGGGUAGCGAACGGG
rnacentral:misc_RNA from 1 species